rnacentral:rRNA from 1 species
GAUGAACGCUGGCGGCGUGCCUAAUACAUGCAAGUCGAGCGAACAGACGAGGAGCUUGCUCCUCUGACGUUAGCGGCGGACGGGUGAGUAACACGUGGAUAACCUACCUAUAAGACUGGGAUAACUUCGGGAAACCGGAGCUAAUACCGGAUAAUAUAUUGAUCCGCAUGGUUCAAUAGUGAAAGACGGUUUUGCUGUCACUUAUAGAUGGAUCCGCGCCGCAUUAGCUAGUUGGUAAGGUAACGGCUUACCAAGGCAACGAUGCGUAGCCGACCUGAGAGGGUGAUCGGCCACACUGGAACUGAGACACGGUCAAGACUCCUACGGGAGGCAGCAGUAGGGAAUCUUCCGCAAUGGGCGAAAGCCUGACGGAGCAACGCCGCGUGAGUGAUGAAGGUCUUCGGAUCGUAAAACUCUGUUAUUAGGGAAGAACAAAUGUGUAAGUAACUAUGCACGUCUUGACGGUACCUAAUCAGAAAGCAACGGCUAACUACGUG